UUGGCAGGGUUUCUCUGCAGACCAGGUUGGCCUCCAAUUUGUGAUCUUUCCUGCCUCUGUCUCCUUAAGCAAAUUCUGCUGACACGUUUUAAGAGUCCUAGAAAAUGAGAUAUUGGGCUGGAGAGAUGGCUUAGCAGUUAAGAGAACCGACUGCUCUUCCAGAGGUCCUGAGUUCAAUUCCCAGCAACCACAUGGUAGCUCACAACCAUCUGUAAUGGGAUCCGAUGCCCUCUUCUGGUGUGUCUGAAGACAGAAACAGUGUGUACUCACAUAGAUAAAAUAAAUAAAUCUAAAAAAAAAGGAGAUACUGCCUUCAGGGGAACUAGAAAUUAUAGUACACUGUCUACACAGUCUAUCACUGAAUUUAGGAUAAAAAGAAAAGUACAUACGAUGUCUAAAACUAAGAGUACAGGAGAUAAAAAUAAUUGCAUAAAGUUGAUUAGGAUAAAUUACCUUUAGUAGACAUAUUUAGGAAUAUAAAAUUAAAUGACAGCAAAAUAAAGUAGAACACACUGAGAUUGUAGGUCUCCAGGAGAUAAAAGUAAUUUUUCAUACAUAUGAAUGUUUUACUAUAGUUAUAUCUGUGUACCACAUUCAUGCCUGAUGCCCACAGAAACCAAAUGAGGGCAUCAGACCUCCGGGACUAGAGCCAUAUUCCCAGACCCCUUUAGUGUUUUCUUUUUGAGGCAAGGUUUCACAUAUAUUCCAGAUCAGCUUUGAGCUUGUGAUCCUUUUCCCUCAGCUGGUGGUAGCCAAAAUAAACUGUAGUAUCAAAAGGAUUAAAAUAGUUAAGAAUAAACGUAAGGCCAGGGAGAUGGCUUAGCUGAUUAAGUGACUACCAGGCAAGCUGGAGGACCUGAGCUCAAAAUUCUAGAAUUUAUAUAAAAAUCUAGGUUCAGUAGCAUAAGCUUGUAUCAUAGCACCGGAUAGGCAGAGACAGGCAGAUUCCUGGGGCUUGCUUGGCCAUUGCCGAAUACCAGAUUCAGUGAGAAAACCUGUCUCAAAAAGUAAAUUGGGUAUUAAUUGAGGAAGACACCAGGUGUCAACCAACCUCAGUCUGAUUCCACAUACUAUACAUGUUUGUCACCCAAUUACACCCUGCCCAAUUCCUUCAUGGACACACAAAGAACAAAACUGGGCUGUUGAGGUAGUUCACCAGAUUAAGUCAUGUGCCUCAAACCAGUUCAAUCCACACAGAGGAGAAAACUGACUUCUACAAGUUGUUCUCUAACCUGCAACAUUUGCUGUUGCACACAUACAUGCAAAAAGAUAAAUGCCCAAGCAUAGUUAGCCAGCACAAAAUGGAGCCCCUGUUUUGUUACGGAUGUUUUAUUAUUUUCUGUGUUAUUUUUUCAUUAGAAAAGAGAGAAGUGAGAAGAUGAAGUUGGGUGGAUAGGAAGGUGGGGAAGAUCUGGGAGGAGUUAGGGAAGGUAAAAUAAAUGAUCAUGAAACAAUUCAUCUCACAUAUUCCAGUUGGAACAUGUUAGGUUCUAAGUAUUACUCUAAGUGGUCUACAAAUUCAGUGUGAUGCUCAACAAAAUUCUAAUGACUUUUUAAGGAACAAAAAAAAUUUUAAUUUUAAAAUUUACAUGAAUCUUAAGGGAACCCCAAUAGCUAAACAACCUUUAAAAUGGACAAAACACAUAAAUACAAAAUAUACAAAUCUUUUAAAAAAUGGACAUAAGUACAUAAAUUUAUCUUGAAUAGAUAUUAAGUGAAUAGCAACAUAGCCUAUGAAAACAUGGAAAAAAAGUCUACUAAUCAUAAAAGAAAUGCAAAAUCAAAAAGUACGAUAAGGUAUUUUCUCACAUCCACUGGAAUGAGUUUUAUAAAAACAAGUGUUUGAGGCAGCAAUGGAAGUUCAAGAAAUUAAAAAUAAACAUUUGAUCCAGAAACCCAAUCAAGAACAGUGUGCAAGGUGACUACUUAUAUAUUUAGUACUAUUAACAAAAGCCAAGAAGUACACACAACCCAAAGUGUUCACACCAAGAGAAGGAGUAGCAUAUGUUUAAUUUUUUUUUUCUUUUCUAUUUUUCGGAGCUGGGGACCGAACCCAGGGCCUUGCGCUUGCUAGGCAAGCGCUCUACCGCUGAGCUAAGUCCCCAACCCCAUGUUUAAUUUUUUUUAAAGAUUUAUUUAUUAUUUUAUGUAUAUGAGUACACUGUAACUGUCUUCACGCACACCAGAAGAGGACAUCAGAUCCCAUUACGGAUGGCUGUGAGCCACCAUGUGGUUGCUGGGAAUUGAACUCAGGACCUCUGGAAGAGCAGCCAGUGCUCUUAACCACUGAGCCAUCUCUCCAGCCCCCAUGUUUAAUUUUUAAAAGGAAAUUCUACUGUAUGGUUGCAACAUGGAUGAAUUUUAAGGACACUAUGGUAAGUGAAUAAAACCAAUUUCACACCAAUGUAAAUUUGUUAUAAUUUUUCAAAAUAGCAAAAGCAAAUGCGUAUUUAGUAUCCAGCUAUAAAAAUUUAUAGAAACUAGAAAUUGUUCCAACAUAAGAUAUAUAAUGAUGGAAACAAACUACUUUAUAAAAUUUUAUCUUUUUCAAGUAAGUAAACACACUGGACAGAAGUGGAAGGAAAUUUCAGCUAAAAGCUAUAAGCAUACUAGGCUUUUCUGACUCUGUCUGUUGGACCACUGGAGUCUAAAACCAUACAAAUUAAAGUCGUAGGUAGAUCUUCAAGUUGCUAUCAUUCUGUAAGGUGGUGAAGAUCUCCAGUAUGUCCUGCUUUCUUCCAGGGAAUUUUGCUAAAACAGACCCCCCCUACACCUACACCCCAAAAUAAGUGAGAAAAAAAAAAAACCCAACCCAAAACUCCAAACUGAACAUUUGUCUGUCAAUGUAGCUGCAUUAGCAUCUUUUGCCAGCUGCUAACAAGUGGUUACAAAAGCCUAUCAUACUUUUGGCAUGCUAGUUCUGAAAGAAUGGGCAGUUCAGAAGUGGUAGGAUCCAAUUUUUGUUUGUAUGUAGUGAAUGUUGCACAAAUAACAUUUUCUGUACUCCAGAGGGGGGUUUGUGGGUGUGCGUGAGUGAUUGACAAGGUUUUAUUACUAGCCUGGACCUCACUUUGUAAAAUCAGACUACCCUGGAACUCCCAAAGAUCUGACAGCCUCUUCCUCUAAGCCCUGGAAUUGGUGUGCCCCACCACCUUUUUAAGGGAGAACUAUAUGAAAACUUUUCCUCUUAGUGGUAACUCUGGGUAAAGAAAAGAAAAAUCUUUAACUACAAGACAACUCCUGGGAAAUCACUUAUGACCAAGAUCUAAACAACCAGUAAUUUAGCUGAACAUAAUCUUACAUUGCCAUUAUUUUAUGAGCUACAAGCUAUCUUCUCAGAAACAUUGCAGAUGUGGUUCCAACCAACGGGAAAGCUCAAAAGUAAAUUAUAAGAACCACAAUUCCCAAAAAGAAGAUAGUUAUAAUGAACAGGAGUUGGCUGAAUUAUUAACAUUUAAAUAAAUUAAAGAAUAUCAAAUCUAAGAUCAAGGAAUAAGAGAUGAACCAAAAAUAACGAAGUGGGCCAAGAUGGCACAAUGCCAUCUUCCACCAAAACCUGACAGCUUGAGUUCUAACCCUGGGAUCCACGUUAAAAGGAGAACUGAUCCCCCCCUCCCCCAUUAAGGCCCUCUGAUCUCCACACAUAUACAAACAAUAAUUAAGCUUAAUUAAAAAACAUUAAAAAAAUAAAUCAGAGGGCUGGGUGUGGUGACACAUACCUUUAAUCCCAGCACUAAGUAAGGAAGCAAAAAGAAGAGGAUCCUUGUGAGUUCCAGACCAGUAUGGUGUAUGUAUCAAGCUUCAGGGCAAUCAGAACUACAUGAAUAAACCUUGUCUCAAAAAGCCAAAGAAUUAAAAACAAAACAGAGGAAGAUGGGUAUGGGUUCUGCACUAUGUAAUCCUCAGUAUGUGAGUGGUUGAAAAGAGGACUGCCACAAAUUCAAGGCUAAUAUGAGACAUUAUGAGUUCAAAGCUGGUCUUGGGAGCUGUAUCAUUAAGAUACUGUCUCAAAAAAAAAAAAACAAAAAAAAACAAAAAAGGGCCAGUGAACUUUUAAAGGAAUCAAGCAACUGUCAAAAAUGCAGCAUAUAAAAAACUGCAAUUAGAAACCCAGGUUCAGGGGCUGGAGAAAUGGCUCAGUGGUUAAGAGCACUUGCUGCUCUUCCAGAGGCCCUAAGUUCAAGUCCCAGCAACCACAUGGUGGCUCACAACCAUCUGUAAUGAGAUCUGAUACCUUCUUCUGGUGUGUCUGAAGACAAGCUACAGUGUACAUAUAUAAAUAUGGUAAGUAAAUAAAUCUUAAAGAAAAAAAAAAAGGAAACCCAGGUUCACAUAACUGACUAUACACAGUUGGCUAAAAAUUAGUGAAAUGGAAAAUACCUACAAUUACCCAGAAAGUAUAAAAGCAAAGAAAUAAACAAAACCCACUGAUGGUAAAAAAAAAAAAAAAAAAAAUCCUGGAGGACAGAACAAAAAAAUGUUAUUUUAACCACUUAAUAUUACAUAUAAAGAAAAACAAGAAAUAUUAAAGAGUAUUUUUUUUGCAAUAACAAUGUUUAGAUUUAGGAGCCCUAACAAUCCACAGGCAGAAGUAAACACAACAGAAUUCACACCAACACACCUGGAAAAAAUAUGGUAAGCAUCAAAAGCAAUGAGGAAAUCUAAGGCACAGGAAAAACUAACAAUAGACUGAAAACUACUGAAGCGUGAAGGUAGCAUACUGAAGAUGCUCUGAGACUGGAGUUUUCCACUCCUGUGAAAACAAAGAGUGUGUGUGUGUGUGUGUGGGGGGGCUUUAUGAAGAAUGAGUUAACUGCGAAGGUAGAAAGCCAAUUUAAAUAACUCAUCAUAGAAGACAACAAUUGUGCCCAGCAACAUCAAUACAGACUAUAUAAUAGCCCCAAAAGUUGUAUUUGAAGUCCUUUAAACUACUAUAAAUAACUGAACAGCUCAAAAAAGAAACAAAGUAUUAGUAAUACUAAAAGCUGUUAGGUAAUAUAAAGUGCUUUGUAACUGAAUGCACCAAAAGCCAUUCCUCAAACACUGACAUUUCUUCAGGGAAUGAGGACUAUUCACACAAAUGGAGAAAAGAAAAACAGCCUCUGUAAGGGAGAGAUGGCUCAGUGGGUAAAGGCUCUUGCACUGGAGUCUGAUCGCCUGAGUUCGAUUCCCAGGUCCUACAUGAUGGAGAGUUUGCUCUUGUUUUUUAUCUCUGGCUCUACCAAAUGUCUCAGAAGUCUGUAACUCAUCCUUUUGUUAUUUAUUCACUCAAAACAUGUUCCCACACCAGGCACUACACUUUCUCUAGUUUUAUACAUAUUCUGCUUUAGCAGUUGAUCACCAAACAUGAGGAUGAUAGCCAGAUUUACUCAUCUAAACCUUAUUCCUUUCCUAAGCCCUAUUUUCAAACACCUAAGGAAUAAUGGCUAACACUGAUAAGAACUGUGAAUUAUUUUGCAAAUAAUAUUGAAUCUCCAAAAAAAAAUUUAAUUAAUUAGAAAGUGUAGAAGCCUCCUAAGAUGAUGGUAACAGUCUGUUUAAAGUGAGGGCUAUGCAAGUAUACUUAUUUUGACAGAUUACCAAACUAUCAUGUGUGCAAUUUUCUUUUUACAUAUACAAUGUUUCAAUAGGUGUUUUGUUUUUGUUAAGUUUUUUUUGGAGACAAUGUUUCUCUAUGUAGCCCUGGCUAUCCUAGAACUCUGAGAUCCACCUGGCCAAGGCGUGUACCACCAUUUAUAAGUAUUCUUAAAGAUUUUUAUUAUUUAAGACAUAUUUUAAAAUAUUUUAUGUAUAUGGGUGUUGCCUCAGGAGGACAGAAGAGAGUACUGGAUCCCUGGGAACUAGAGUUUGGGAGGUUCUAAGCCACUACUAUGUGAGUUCUAGGAACUGAACCCAGGUCCUUUGCAAGAGCAGCAAAUGCUUUUAACUGCUAAGCCAUCUCUCCAAACCUCUAUUUGGGUUAUUUAUACUUUAGGAAGCCAGAAUACUGUGUUGGAUCACCAGACUUAUAGGCAGUUGUGAGCCAGAUGAUAGGGGUGCUGUUUCACCUGCUGAGUAAGUUCUGUAGACUUCCAUGAAAAUGUUUUAAAAGCCAGGUAUGAUGGAUCACACCAAGCUGAACAGCAGGAUUAGCUUAAGUUUGAAGGUAGCUGGACUAGAUGAUGAGUUCCAAGUCAGCCUGGACCACAGAAUAAAACUGCUUUCCAAACAAAGUAAUACUUUUAGUCAUAGCUUCCAAUUUCCCAUUUUAGCCUUUCAUAAAAAGUCAAGAAUGGUGGUUGGAAGAUAGCUCAGCAAUUUAACAGCACCUAAUGCUCUUCAAGAAGAUCCAGGUUUGGUUUUCUGCACCCAUAUCAUACAGCUCAUGACCACUCUGUAGUUCCAGGGGGUCCAUCUGCUCUCCUUGGCCACCUGCUCAUUCUCUCUCAUAUUCAUAUUCAUAUUCAUAUUCAUAUUCUCUCUCUCUCUCUCUCUGCCCCUGCACACCAGUGAAUGUGCAUAUUCACAAUCUAAGUCUUAAAAGUUAAUAACUGUCACCAUAGCAUAGCUAUUUGUAUGAAACCACAUCUGUCUCUAUCUUUGAUUGCAAGUGUAAAACUCUCAGAGCAGAUUCCAAAAAUCAAGUACCAGUAUCAAGUGAAGUACCCUUUUCAAAUGCCUUUUAACACAGAGAAUAUUAAAAAAAAUCCAAAAAGCACAAUGUUUAUUUUAUUAAUUUGAUCUCUAUGCAUUAGAAGCACAGGACUUUAUCAAACAUGAAAAAAAUGCCAUCCUUGAAAGAUGACCUUAAUCUUUUGCUAUAACAGAAUGGUGACAUGAACAAUUUAUAGAUAGGGGCAGUGUUGACCCUUCAAUCUUUACUAAGUAGAUGAAAAAAUGUAAUUCUAACACUGCCAGUUACUGCAUUUCUAAGCCUAAGUAGACUCAUUUAUAAAUUUCACCCUCUAUCAUUCCUUAGUAAUAAUGUAGCCAGCUGUGUGACAAACCAACUACCUUUCAGCAUUCCAUAUACUAUACAAUCUAACUCAUCUACAUAAGCAUGGUUCUAUCUCUAAAGUUUUUAAUGAUCUAUCCAUCCUCUCAUUUUAUUUUUCCAAGUCCUUCUUAAAUCAUUCUUACAAGAUGUCCUAACUAGUUUUAGGAUAAUCAGUGCUUCAGUACAAUCACUGAGACCUCCUUAUCAAGUUACCUGGGCAUUUUCGGAAAUCCCAAGUCUAGAAAUAUAUUAAGUAUAUUCUAGAGUUAAUUUAACAGUUUUUAUUUCUUAACUUUUUCAUUGAUAUAACCUCUUUAUGACUAUUCUUUUUCUUAGUGAGCCUUGCAGAUUUCAUUAGCUUUAUUUCUAUCCAAUAGGUUUGCAGCUGUAUCUAAACAAGGGCAGUGCUGUGGAUAUAAUUAGUUAUGGAGCACCGGCUUACAUAAACAGGAGUUAUUUGUAAUCUAAUUUUAACUUAAUAAAACAUUGCUAUAACAGAAAUGUGAAUUUGUUUUGUUUAGUUGAGACAAAAUCUCCCUCUGUAAAUCAGGCUGGCCUUGAAUUUACUCAGGGUAGCUCUAGUACUGGGAUAGUAGUGUGUACACUACCAUCUCCAACUCAGUUCAUUUUUGUAUGAUUUAGCUACAGAAAAUUUACUGAACUUACUGGUUCUCAUUUUUGUGUGUGAUGAACUGAAUAAUCACACCAUCUGUAAAGAAAAUUUCUUUCUUCCCUACUGAAUUGACACUGAGACCUACCACUGAUACUAACACCUAUUUUAUAGUAAUCAUAUGGCAGACAUAAAUUGGGAAUCUAUAGAUUAAAUCUAGAAAUUAAAAAUCUAUAGCAUCGGUAGAACACACUGUGUUCUAGGCUAGGAAGUAUUGUACUUAAUCUUCACCUAAAGUAAAGGUAGAUAAAUCAAAUCUUAGAAAGUAAGUGACUUGGCAAAUGGAGCUUAGAUACAAAUUUAAGUUUAACUAAUUCCCAAUUCAAAUCAUUUUAAGACACCAUGCUACCACAAAGGCAAUGUAAAGCAUACCUACCCAUACACUUCAACAUUCUAUACAUGAUUAUUCUGGCUUACUCUACAAACCCCUUCCCCAUUAUACACUACAACUAAGGAUUACACUCUAGGCCUCAAACAUGGUAUACAAAUACUUACCAAGCUAUGCCCAAGUCCCUUCAACCCACUCCCUAGGCUAUUAGUAAAUUAUAUAGGAAAUUCCAGAAGUCUAAUAGCAACUAUCCUUUUUCUUGAGGUAGGGGGGUGUAAGGUAGCAACUUUAUUAUUUCAAACUCAUACAUUUAAUUUAUGCAUCCUAAAGUCUCUGAUUCAGCAAUGGGAAAACUAAUACAAGAUAAUAAAAAAAAAUUAACAGUCAGUAAAGUUCUAUGUUCAUGACUGGUUUCAAAACCCACUCACCUGGGUUUUCUUUCUUUACUUUUUUUUAAAAAACAUUUUAUUUAUUCAUUUUAUAUAUGAUGAGUACACUGUCACUGUCUUCAGACACACCAGAAGAGGGCAUCGGAUCCCAUUACAGAUGGUUGUGAGCCACCAUGUGGUUGCUGGGAUUUGAACUCAUGACCUCUAGAAGAGCAGUCAGUGCUCUUAACCUCUGAGCCAUCUCUCCAGCCCUCUUUCUUUACUUUGAAGAUAGUGUUAUUAACUCUACACAUUCAAGUACAAAAUAUAAAGGAAAAAGCAAAAACCUAAAGUCACUGAUUAAUCAGCUUAUGCAAAGUGAUCGUUUGCCUGCUCAAAAUAUUUUAGUGAUCUAAGGCCCUUAGAAAUAUAUUUCCCAAAGACAUGUCAAACUCAUUAGAUGAGCUGCUUUCUUUUGACUAGAGAUUCUUAAAUGCUCACCACAUAUGUAUGAGGACUCAUGACUAGAAUGUUAACAUUUAAGAGGCUGAGGCUGGAGGUCUCUAAGAGAUACAAAUAAGGGGAGUAAUUAUUUUGCACAUUUAUAUAAUCUUCAUUCUCUGGAUUCAAAUAAAUAUUGGUAAGAAUGGUAAAAAUGUUUCCAAAUGAUUACUUAAAUAGCAACUUUAUUGAGGGUAGAGUAACAUUCAGACAUUAAUGAUACCAAAAGUUACAGCUAGGAAAAUAAAACUAGUUUAAGUAUCAGCUUAAGAUUUAAGUUAUCCAGAGAACAGAUAAGUAUUUGACUAAAUUUGAAAAUUAUAAGAAAUGUUGGAGAUUUUUCUCAAGAAUAAGUGAAGAGAAAAUGGCUGUUUAAAACACUAAAAGGUUUUAUUUCUGCUCACUGGAGAAUAUAAAUGACCCUUUUAUUACAGAUUUGUGUAUCCCCAAAAAAUUCCUUUGAAAGCUCAAGUACUGCUGGGAGUGACGGAACAUGCCUUUGAUCCCAGCACUCAGGAAGCAGAAGCAGGUGAUUUCCAGGCCAGACAGGGCAACAUGGUAAGAUCUUGUCUCUAAAAAAAAAUCCCUUGAGUACUAUGAAAAACUCACUUUUUAGUAAGAGGGUGAGAGAAAGUCUAUUAUAAAAACAUCAGAUUGUCUGCCCUCCAACAAAAAUUACCUUAGAUCAGUAGAUAAGAGCACUUGCCCUACAAGCCACAUGACUGUGGUGGAGGGAGAGAAUUGAUCCCUGAAAGCUGCAGUCUCAUCUCCACAGGCCUGCUGGACACACCCCCACAGGAAACAGUAUACAAUAAUAAAUAAAAGAAUUAUGCUAAACUGAGUGUGGCUCAAAUAGAAGCACACUGUGGGUUGAGGCUGGGAUAUCAGUAGUUUCAGGUUAUCUUCGGCUACAGAGUAAGCUCAAGGUUAGCCUGAGACAAGUGAACCCCACCCCCCCAUGAAUAAAAACAAAAGGAAAUUGCUUAGUGUGACAGCAAUGCCUAAAAGCCCAACACCUACAAGGUGGAAACAAAAAGGCCUACAGUUCAAGUUAAAUGUGAAGCUAACAUCUUUGUUAGCUAAAGUUUACAUCUUUGUUUUUUAUUUUUUUGAGUGUGUCCUCCCUAAGUUCGUUCGUGUUCUCUCUCUCUCUCUCUCUCUAAAAAGGACAGUAUACUUUCCUUCUCAACAUAUGAGCUCUCCAACUAAACUCACUUUCUGCCAUGAACCCAUCUUGGUUACCAUUUUCCAGGGGAGAACCUGCUUUGUCUUGUGCCCCCCACCCAUAAACUAAGCAUCUUAUCAGAAAUAUAUAAACACAUACAAAGAACAUUCACAAUUUUUUUUCAAUUGGAAGCAAACCUUCAAAGAACAAAUGGCAUUCUAAGUUAACUUUGUCCCUAAAAACAUAUACAAAACAGUAAAACAGAAAGUGGGACUUUGAAGCACAAAGACUGAAUAAAUGCUCAACACAGAAAUGUUUAGCAUGAGUUAUCACAAAUGAAGAUAAUCUAUUUGGAACUUGUUUACAACAUAUCAUACUAAUUCUUUAGUGUAUCAUUACAAAUACCAAAGCUAGGGAUAGUGGUAGAGCAACUGCCAACAAACAUGAAGAAUUAGCACUCCAUCUCCAGAAUGGAGUAAAGGUGAAUCUAAGGUAAAUUUAGUCAAAUAUAUUGUAUAUUGAUAUGACUAGGAAAGCUAAGAACCAGAAUUGAGAUUUUGGACAUUCACUCUGUGUUAUUGAGAGUCAAUGACCAUGAAGCAUCUUAUCUAAAUGUAAAAGACUUAAAACACGUCCUCAUGUUUGAGAUCUUUCAAAUUAAGGAACAGUACAUAUAGGCAUACAAACCAAGGUUCUCCACCUCUUAAAGUUCCAUUAUAACUGUUUCUAACCAGAAUCAACAACACCAUUAGUAUUAAUGUUUAUUCAUCUUCCUCAAACAUUAGCAUUAUUGCACAUGAAUUCUGUGUUUAAAUACCAGAGCUUUUCAUAUAUGCCUAUGUAAAAAGACAGUGUCUUAAUAAUUAGUUCUGGUAAUACAUGAAGUUAACACCAAGGCUAUUUUUUUUUUAAAAGAUUUAUUUUAUUUAUAUGACUACAUUGUAGCUGUCUUCAGACACACCAGAAGAGGGCAUUGGAUCCCCUAACAAAUGGUUGUGAGCCACUAUGUGGUUGCUGGGAAUUGAACGCAGGACCUUGAGGAAGAAGAGGUCAGUGCUCUUAACCGCUGAGCCAUCUCUUCAGCCCCAUGGCCUGGAUUUAUCAAGUUUGCUUAAGCUAGCAUUGAAAACAUUCUUAUAAUACUGAUUGGACUAAAAUAAUUUUAAAAUCUAUACGUCUGCAUUUUGGAAAAAAAACUUUAAAAACUGCUCAACACUCCUACUCCUAAUUUUCAGUACCUAAACAGUUAAAAUGCAAACGUGUUAUUCAGUGAAUACUAAGAAAAAAUAUUGUACAAAAUGAAUAGAAAAAUUUAAUGGUUAAACAGCAUUUUCUAGAAUACAUGUUAUUCAUUAGCAGAUUUAUGGCCACAGAGGCCAUUAGCUAUCUUGUUUCUCAGGAAAAAAAAAAAAAAAGAAAUUAUUUAAGUUGACUAUGUUUUCUCCCUUCACAAAACUUUGCUUGUUUAAUAUCUAAGUCGGUAAAACAAAUGACAUGCUAAUGUCUGAAAUGUACCAUGAUUUUGCUCUGAUAAUAUAAUUCCAGUCAUUUUUCUCAGCACUGGCCUCAACAGACUGCCACAUUAAGAUCGAGGCUUUUAACAAUCAGUAAAUUAUCUAUGCCAGCAAUAUAAUGCAUUUAUAAUUUUAACACCUCUUUAAAAAAACAAUGGGGGCAUUUCAUCUAUUUUAAUUGACAGAUUAUUUUUUCUUUUUCAGUAAUAUAUAAAACAGUACCUCUUGUAGUAAAUUCUAUCUUAGGAGUCCACAAAAUCAGGCAAUUUCUUUUUCCUUUAGAAUUUUCAGCCCCCAAAUAUUGGCCAGUAUCCCAUUUUAUAGAGGAAACUCAAAAAUUAUGUCCCAAAUGUCAUAAAAACCACGAAGCUAGUGUUCCUAAAAUUUUGUUUUCCAAUGAGCCCCCUUUAAAUACAUGGCUCGCCUAAAGGUAAAUGAGAUUUAAAAAAAAAAAAAAAAACUGUCUGAAUUUAACCAUGAUGAACCUAAUGUGCUAAGGUAUGCGAUAUGACGCAUACAUAAAGCUGUAAGCUUACUGCAUGAACCAAGAGACUGUCUUACUGAUUCAUAAACAGUACAAUGAUAUUCCGUUGUGUCUUUCGGUUCUGCCUGCGAUAGAUGGGACGUAUAAGGAAUCACAGCUAUUUAGUACUGACAGCUAUCUGCAGGCAGAGGAUUCAUCCCGUGACUUACAACGACUCAGUAUACAGCCACUCGCCUUCUUUUCUUUUCCCCAGGGGAAAAAGACCCCAAAGGAGAAUCACCGGUCCACCCGAAACCAUCCUCAAUGGUUACAAAGACUAUGGCAACGCAUCAUCUGCACUAGGAACUUCGCACAUCUUUUCCAGUCUAACAGCUAAACAAUUCACAGGUGGUUGGCAUAUUAACAUCUCUCCGAGCAAGAAAACCAAAGGGAAUGGGAUGGAUGCAGUGACGCUGGCAAACUGGCAGUUAAUUUUAGGGGCUGGGGGGCUGUCGGGGCACCCAGGGCCAAGGUACCGACAAAGACAUGUUAUUAUCUGGCCUCCGGGGGCGUCGCGUAGAGGCCGUUGAGCCUGAGACUCCGCACCCGGUGCGAGGUCCCCUUCGCUCACUCUCUCCAUUCCCGGAGCCAAAGGAAGAUAAGAGCAGAACCACUGGCAACAUGAAUGAAGGAUCUACGGCCCUGUGGAUGACUCCUGGAGAUGUAACUUUAACCUCCAAACAGUCUCACUAUGUAGGUCCAGUUAAUCCGAACCCCUAGUGCUCUUGAUCCUCCUGCCCCCCACCUCCCAGGACUGGCUUUGCAGAUGUGCACCACCAUGAUCAGCUUUAGCUCGGAGGAGUCCCAACCCUCUGUUCUUGCAGCCUUCACCAUGGAACUACCUGCUACCAUAUCUUUGCUGCUUCGAUGGACUGGAUGCCCUGACAUGGCCCCAUCACUGGUCCAAUGCAAAGCCUGCAAAAACCGAGUGUGAGAGGGAUUCACAAGUCAUUCUCCACUUUGCCAUCAAAGAUGUCCUCACAGAGAAAGUCAGAUCCUUUGCACACAGAAAGAGAAUCACAAAUGGCACCGAAAUUCCUAGAAGCAAGGUUCGUCUUGCAUUUGUUGCUUUUGUUUGUUUUGUUUUAAGGUUGAGACCAGAUGGCCUGGCUACAUCAGUAACAAAUGAAGUCAGAGCUGACUGGGAAAAAGAGCUGAGGAAGCCAAGAGGGAAAGGAGGCUGAGCUAAUAACCCCCACCCUACAUCUCUCUGGGGCACGAUUUCUGCAAAUAUAGUCUCCCUCUAGCCUGCACUGAGCCACCUGGAGAAGAGCAUGUAAAAAUAGAGCUUUCUGGACUGCAUCCCAGUGUGAACAUCUGGACUUCCAAUCUUGCUCCGCUUGCAUUUUGAACGGAGUCCUCACAUGUCUUAUGGAUAAACAUGACCUGUGGAAUAAGAGGUAAACCUCCUGGGGUGCAUGAGAGCGGAGAUGUGAUUCUCAGGGUGAUAGAUACUUUUGCAUAGGGCUUCAAACAACACAUCUCAGGGAAGCUACCCUGUGUAAAGCUAAGUGACCAGAAUCCCGACCUGAGGGACUUAGGAGGAGGUGAGAUGCUGGAAGAGAGAGUGUGAACAGCCUGAGGAGCCUUUAGAAGGGUAACUGGCGCCUCUGUGAGGGACUCUGAGUGGUCUCUGCUCUGUGCCACAGAGAAGCUUCCAGAAACCCAGGGAUGCUGGUUGUAUCUGCAAGCACCUGUGGAAACCACCCUUGCUUCAGAAUAUCUUUCAGAUCGCAGGCAAGCAUUUUCCCUAAUUUCCCCUUCUGGUUGUUCCCCACCUACAGCUUCCCUUGAGUCAGAUUUUGUUUUGUUUUUUAAUUUUCUUUUAAAUGCAAAUGCCCUGGUGGGGGGGGGGAUGAAGCUUUUAUUGAGAGUUACAGGACUUUGUUUAUUAUUUCUUUUGGUAAAGUUUUGAUUUCUCUCACUCUAAGAAAUAUUUUCAUAAGUUGAGAGGAAGAGGUCAUUUUUUGGGUUUCUUUUCUUUCCUUCUUUUGUUUUCUGAUAGGGGCUCACUGCUUAUCCUUGGCUGGCUGACCUGAACCUGCUGAGGAGGCCUGGUUAGCUUUGAACUCACCUACUUCUGACUCCCAAGUGCUGGGAUUCCGGGAGAGCACCAGCACAGCUGGCAGGAAGAGUUGCCUGUGGAUCGGAAUGUAGACCUCUCAGCUCCUUCUCCAGCGCCAUGUCUGCCUGCCCGCCACCAUGUUCCCUGCCACGAUGGUAACGGACUAAACUUCUGAAACUGUAAUCAUCCCCAACUAAAUGUUUUUCUUUUUAAGAGUUGCCAGGGUCAUGGUGUCUUUCUGCAGCGACAGAACCAUGACUAAAACACUUCCUGUAAUGCAUCAGGUUUUAAUCAUAUGUAUAUCCAAUUAUGUUUAGCCGUCAGUGAUAGAGGAGGAAUAUCCCUAAGAGUUCACUUUGAAGACAUCCGAUCUGCCUAUUUACAUAUGUACCGAAACUAGUCUGGGCCAGAUUGUCCCAUUUUUGUUACUGGAUUGUUCUCAAGGAGUUAUUAAAGGGGGUGACUAACUCCUACUGUUUAAAGCAGGUGAACUAGGGACGAAUAUGAGGGGGGCUUCUAUCACUAAUACGUUGCUUGUUGCAUUGUUCAAGGAGGGGUGUGUGCAUAGCCCAUGCCAAAUAGAAUCCUAAAUUGCUAAGCCAUUCCCCAUAUGCGCCUGUCUCAGAGACAGGGAAGGCAUUCUGAAAUAAGUUAGCCAGCUUAGAAGUCUUAUAGCUAUCCUAGAGGCUAAUUAGCUGCAGGCUUUGGAGUUAUCUUUUUUAUUGAAUGGGAGUCAUUGGCAUAUGUAACAGAUUGCUCACCUCACAGAAUCUGGCCUUUAAUAAUGAUAAUAAUAAUAAUAAUAAUAAUAAUAAUAGCUUUGGCCCUUAAACAGAAUGAACAAGCAGUCCAACUGGAGGUUGAUUUGUACAGCUCUGUUUCCCAAGAGCAAGGCACUAGAUGCCUGCUUCCCUCAGACCAGCAUCAUUUGUCCCAGCAUCCAGUUUUCAAGAGCCAGCCAGUGUUUUGCCUUCCUUGAAGUCUGGCCAGAGUUUUCCUUGCUCCUUAUCAGGCAAACUGAUACGGGCAGUUCAUAUCAUCAGGAUGAUCAGCUGAGUGGUCACAAGCCUACAACCCUAGCCCUCCAGAUGCAGAAGCAGGGGGAGAAGGAGUUUGAGGCUAUCCUGGGCUACGUAAGACCUUGUAUUAAAAACAACAACAACAACAACAACAACAACAAAAACCAAGUAGUACAGGCUGAGGAUGUGACUAAGUUGGUAGAGUGCUUACCUAGCAGGCACAAAACCCUGGCUUCCAUUCUCAGAACAGCAAACAGCAAGGCAUGGUGCUACAUGCCUAUAAUCCUCUAGAGUUUCUUGCAAGAACGUGUUCAAGGUCAUCUUUGGCUACCUAGUGAAUUCAAGGACAGCCUGAAACAUGUUAGACCUUGUUCAGACCAAAGACACAAGCAAACAGUUGAAAACAACAACAAAGAAUUGUUAUCGAGUCCCAAGAUUCCCCCUCAACCCCAGAUUAGGAUAUCUGUUCCAAGACACUCUGUUAUCUUUGUCAACUGAGUUUCCAGGCCAUUCUUUUGGUUUUGUAGCUGUACAUGAAUCCCCAACUGGGGAUUUCCAGAAAUAACUGAGGGUGGGAAGGAGAAUUUGAAGGUGGGAGCCCAGCUCCUGCAGUCAGCAUGUGAACACCAGAGAUCUGGCAAAGCAAGCAGGAACGGAAAGAUGACCUCAUUUGUAUUCUGGCCAGCGAGCCCAGCUGCAUGCUGGCUAGACAGGUAUCAGAGGCAUCUUCUCCCAGCUCUUGUUCCCCUAAGACACUACUCUGUAAAUCAGGUCUGCAGACCAGCUUCCCGAGUAGGCCAAUCCUCCAAAUUUAGAUCUUGCCUUUGUCAGGUAGAGAGCUAACUCAGAGGCCAAAGCACUAACCAGGGACUAUGAGAAGAAAGCAUUUUCAAAGCAAAUAAAGACCCAAGCAGAGCAGAACACAGUCCCUUGAGCACACCAGUGGGGAUCACUUGGCAAGAGGCAUCUUGCCAGGGAAUUAACACAAAACAAAUCCCUCACAGCCCCUCGAGGGGAGUUUCAGAAAGAGUCAGCCCGGGAGGGUAGUGCAAGAGCUUACAGGAAUUGCCUCACUUGCAUUCGGAUGUGGAGCCUCUGCUGCUGGGAAGGGGCACGCAGGAUCAGAGUGUGAUUACAUCAGGGAGAGACUGUGGAGACAGCUCUCGGUCUUUUCCACGGCGCAGAUGAGGUGCCCAAGGCACAGAAAGAUUAAAGCCUCUGCCAAAGGCAUGCAGUGGAGAACUGGGAGUAGAAAUCUAGGUCACCAGUCUCCCAGUACAGGUGUUUCCAACCCUUGUGCCUUAUAGAUGAGCGAGGCAUGGGGCGUGGCGUACACACGCACUUACUCUGGGUGAUGGAGCACGGUUUCUGGUGCAGAGCUGAAGCAUCAGUCAGCAAACAGCAGGAUGAGAUAAAUGUGGUCCCAGUGCAGGGGAGCAGCAUGUGACAGUGUGACAAGAUGUAUCAGCACAGGAACAAUUAAAAGCAGCGCCAUGGCAACCAGCAUUCACUCUGGGCCUAGAGAGCGUGGGUAUUUGCUGGUGCUGUUCAAGAUGGCCUCUCAUCCUCUGAGAAGCAAUGCAGAUGAGAGGCUCUGAAGUAUACCACACAGAGAACGCAGCCACGCAGCCACGGCAGGGUCCAUCUUCUUCACCAAGGGUUGGCGCUUUCAGUUUAACUCACAAGAGAAAUAAACCCAGCAGCCUUGGGAUUUCCCCUAGAAUUACCAUGUUUGUUGUAAAGAAAGGUUUUGUUUCCCCUUGGAGCAGUGUGCUGCAGUUUCAAAGUCCUCUGAGCACCAAUGUUCCAACAAGGGGCUCAGAAGUGAGCAGAAGGGGAAGAACUCCCUCCCUCCCUCCUCCUUUUCCUUCUCCCUUUUCAUUAUUUGAGACAGGGUCUCAAACCGUAGCCCAAGCUGGCCUGAAACUUACCACGUGGCCCAGGCAAGCCUCAAACUUACAGGAACCUCCCCACCAGCCUCAGCUUUUGUGCUGAACUCACAAAUGUGAGCAGCAUGCCAGCUUCUAACAUUGCAGGCUGUACCGCUGCUCCCUGCCCACACAUCAAUUAGCAACAACAGCAACAAGGCAAACAUAAAUCUUCAACGUGGCAGGAGACCAGGCAAAGGUGCGGCAUGAGCUUCAUCAUUGGACCCCUGUGUUGGGCUGUGGGUCCUGCCCUGAUUUUAACUUUGAUGAUUAUACAUAUACUAUAUCCUGGGCACAGACCACUUGCUGUCUCAAUAUCUGCUCCCCUGGUUAUUUUUUUUUUUCCGUUAGUUUUAUUUUGGCGUCUCGGUACAGCCCAGGCCGUUCUUGAACUCAGGACCCUUCAGCUUCAGUUCUCCCAGCACGGGGUUCACAAGCGUGUACCACCAUGCACAACUUCUCUCCCCAUUUCACUGUGUUGCUUUACAUUUCUAAUGGGCACCUUGCCAUGAAGACUCCCAGCUUCCCCGAGAAGCAGAUGUGGUCCUCUGACCAGGCGGUUCAUACUGCAAGUGGAAGUGCCACUUUCUGGGGUGUGCUUUUGACUCCAGGCUCCCUGCUGCUCCGGGCUGGCUUGCAGUUGGAGUCACGACGUCAUCUUGGGACCCCGGAGAUGAAGACAACUUCACAGGAAUAGCAGACCAAGAGGACAUGCCCCCCCCCACCAAUUUAAAGAAAUUGUUACUUAUUUUAUAACUACUUUAAAAACAAGAAAACUGGAGGCAUCCAAUCUGCCAACUGAAAGAAGCCAAGCCCGAGUAAAAAUCCUUUUAUAGCAUGCCGUGCUGGGGACCAAACCCACUGAGCCAUACCACUAGCUUCUGAACAAACUUCCUGGAGGACAGCUGCUCUGCCAGCUGUUUUUGUUGUUGUUGCCGAGUGGGGGUUCUGUCAGGGAUAGUGGCUCACAUCUGAAGUCCCAGCAUGUGGGAAGCUGAGGCAGGGGGUUGGCUUCAAGUUUGAAGUCAGCCUAGGCUACGCAGUGAGUUUUAAGCCAGUCUGAGUGAGCUACAGCAUAAGAUGCUGUCUUACCUCCCUGCCAAAAGACUGGCGGUAUUGAGUGGAGAAGAAGCUGAUUAAGCUAAUAAAAAUGUAGACUUUAUUAAGACAGUAAUGGUAGCGUACACUAAAUGCAAGAAGCGGGCAUGUGCUUUCAAGAAGUGAGCUGCAUCUUGGAUGGCCCACUUUAUGAACUCAUUUUAACCAAUGGGGAGGAUCAUUCAUGAAUUAACAUAGGAAGAAAUGGGGAAAUGCCAAGAAUGGGGUUUCCCCAGAUUAGAGUUUGCUCCUCCUCUGUGCUCUUACCUGAAUGAGCCUGGGGAGGGGGAGAGGGAAAGGGAGGGGAGGAAACCCAUGAUGAGUGGUGCUGUACCUGGACGGGUGGUUCUGGGUUGUAUCACAAAGCAGGCUAAACAAGUUGUGGGAGUAAGCCAGGAGGCAGUGUUCCUCCAUGACUUCUGCUUCUGUUCCUGCUCUGGGUUUUCUGAAUGAGCAGGCAUCUGGCUUCACUCAGGAUGCAGAGAAGCCAGUGAGACAAAGGACAGUUAACAUCGUCACAGUCAUGUUGGUCCCAGCUGACUUGGAGCUCCUGUGUCUUCACUGUUCGAAUGGUCACAUGCUGUCUUACUGUAAUGCAGUCCCAUGUUGCAUCAGCCUCCAGCCACUGGGUACUUUUCUUAUUUUCUCUGUUUAUCUUAGGGUUUUUACUGCUGAAACAAACCCACCAGGACCAAAAAGCAAGUUGAGGAAAGGGUUUGUUUGGCUUAUACCUCCAGAUCAUAGUCCAUCGCUGGAGGAAGUCAGGACAGGCACUCAGGCAGAGCAGGAACCGGUGGCAGGAGCUGAUGCAGGGGUCAUGGAGGGGCGCUUCACAUGGAUUUCUCAGUCUGUCUUCUUAUAGAACUCAAGACUACCUGUUCAGGGAUGUCAUGGCACCACCCACCUUGGGCUGGGUCCUCCCCUCUUGAUCACUAAUUGAGAAAAUGCCUUACAGUUGGAUCUCAUGGAGGCAUUUUUCUCAACUGAGGCUCCUUGCUCUCUGAAAACACCUACCACCAUCCAGUACAUUAGCCAACCUAUUCCUUCCCCAUCCUCUAGAGAUUUCUGUCUCCUAAUCUCUAGGGGCUAAAGAGAACCACUCUCCAUAAACACUUGCCGCAGACUUGGGCCUCGUGGCCUGGCCUACUGAGGUGAGUUGGAGGUGCUGCAAAGCUCCUAAGUUGGGAAGGAGAGAAACAUUGUAGGAUCAUCAUUUAGUGUGGGGCUGUUGAGGCCUAGAAGACACAAGUUUUGCAAGAAGGUUGAACACACGGGGAUAAAAUAGAAGGGGCAGAACAGCAGUUACCAGAGGUCCAAGGAAAAAAGGAACCAGCUUAGACUGGUAAGGCAGGGUGAUGGUUUGUAUAUGCUUGGCCCAGCGAGUGGCACUGUUAGAAGGUGUGGCCCUGUUGGAGUAGGUGUGUCACUGUGGGUGUGGGCUUUAAGACUCUCCUCCUAGCUGCCUGGAAGUCAGUAUUCUGCUAGUGGCCUUCAGAUGAAGAUGUAGAACUCUCAGCUCCUCCCGUACCAUGCCUGCCUGGAUGCAUAUUCCCACCUUGAUAAUAAUAAACUGAACCUCUGAACCUGUAAGGCAGCCCCGAUUAAAUGUUGUCCUUUAUGAGAGUUGCCUUGGUCACGGUGUCUGCUCAUAGCAGUAAAACCCUGACUAAGACAGGCAGCUUUGAUUAUACAAAUGGUGUUUGGGUCUAGGCAAGUAAAAAAUUCAGAAUUUUUGUCCUAAACUAAGAAUAAUUAUUAUAAAUUAUGGAGGAUGCUAGAAUUAGUUAGCUCUUUUGUUUUCCUGGAAGACAAUUUGCUGGUGAGUAGACUUUAUAUUGGUGUGAUGUUGUCCCAGCUAGGUGUUCAACUUGACAUAGCUAGAUGUCUGGGAAGAGGAGCCUCAGCUGAGAAAAUGCUUCCUUCAGAUGGAAUGUAGGCGAGUCUGUUGAGCAUU